GACGAACGCUGGCGGCGUGCCUAAUACAUGCAAGUUGAGCGCUGAAGGUUGGUACUUGUACCAACUGGAUGAGCAGCGAACGGGUGAGUAACGCGUGGGGAAUCUGCCUUUGAGCGGGGGACAACAUUUGGAAACGAAUGCUAAUACCGCAUAAAAACUUUAAACACAAGUUUUAAGUUUGAAAGAUGCAAUUGCAUCACUCAAAGAUGAUCCCGCGUUGUAUUAGCUAGUUGGUGAGGUAAAGGCUCACCAAGGCGAUGAUACAUAGCCGACCUGAGAGGGGGAUCGGCCAAAUUGGGACGGGGAGACGGCCCACAAUACUACGGGAGGCAGCAGUAGGGAAUCUUCGGCAAUGGACGAAAGGCUGAACGAGCAACGCCGGGUGAGUGAAGAAGGUUGUCGGAUCGUAAAACUCUGUUGGUAGAGAAGAACGUUGGGGAGAGUGGAAAGCGCAGAAAGUGACGGUAACGACCCAGAAAGGGACGGCUAACUACGUG
rnacentral:rRNA from 1 species